AUAUACAUAUAUAGACAGUGAAAUAUUUUGAAGGUGCUUGUGGCUUUUAUGUCGAUCAUUUUGUCCUUGCAUCUUGGCCCGGUAUCUUUGUUUCCUAUAGGGGGUUGUUUAUGGUUCUGUUGUUAGCACAUAGAGUUGAAUGGGAUUGCGAGGAUAUGAAUGGCUUUAUUUAUGUUGCACAAUUGACAGUUGAAAAAUAUUUCACUGUCUAUAUAUGUAUAU
rnacentral:misc_RNA from 1 species